rnacentral:rRNA from 1 species
UGGGGAAUAUUGGACAAUGGGCGAAAGCCUGAUCCAGCCAUGCCGCGUGUGUGAAGAAGGUCUUCGGAUUGUAAAGCACUUUAAGUUGGGAGGAAGGGCAGUAAGCGAAUACCUUGCUGUUUUGACGUUACCGACAGAAUAAGCACCGGCUAACUCUGUGCCAGCAGCCGCGGUAAUACAGAGGGUGCAAGCGUUAAUCGGAAUUACUGGGCGUAAAGCGCGCGUAGGUGGUUCGUUAAGUUGAAUGUGAAAGCCCCGGGCUCAACCUGGGAACUGCAUCCAAAACUGGCGAGCGAGAGUAGGGCAGAGGGUGGGGGAAUUUCCUGUGUAGCGGUGAAAUGCGUAGAUAUAGGAAGGAACACAAGUGGCGAAGGCGACCACCUGGGCUCAUACUGACACUGAGGUGCGAAAGCGUGGGGAGCAAACAGG